UACGUAGGGUGCAAGCGUUAAUCGGAAUUACUGGGCGAAAGCGUGCGCAGGCGGUGAUGUAAGACAGGUGUGAAAUCCCCGGGCUAACCUGGGAACUGCAUUUGUGACUGCAUCGCUGGAGUGCGGCAGAGGGGGAUGGAAUUCCGCGUGUAGCAGUGAAAUGCGUAGAUAUCGAGAGGAACACCAGUGGCGAAGGCGAGUCUCUAGACAACUCCUGACACUGAGGCACGAAAGCUAGGGGAGCAAACAGG
rnacentral:rRNA from 1 species